GAUGAACGCUGGCGGCGUGCCUAAUACAUGCAAGUCGAGCGAACAGACGAGGAGCUUGCUCCUCUGACGUUAGCGGCGGACGGGUGAGCAACACGUGGGUAACCUACCUAUAAGACUGGGAUAACUUCGGGAAACCGGAGCUAAUACCGGAUAAUAUAUUGAACCGCAUGGUUCAAUAGUGAAAGACGGUUUUGCUGUCACUUAUAGAUGGAUCCGCGCCGCAUUAGCUAGUUGGUAAGGUAACGGCUUACCAAGGCAACGAUGCGUAGCCGACCUGAGAGGGUGAUCGGCCACACUGGAACUGAGACACGGUCCAGACUCCUACGGGAGGCAGCAGUAGGGAAUCUUCCGCAAUGGGCGAAAGCUUGACGGAGCAACGCCGCGUGAGUGAUGAAGGUCUUCGGAUCGUAAAACUCUGUUAUUAGGGAAGAACAAAUGUGUAAGUAACUAUGCACGUCUUGACGGUACCUAAUCAGAAAGCCACGGCUAACUACGUG
rnacentral:rRNA from 1 species